CCUUUUUCACAAUGCGGAAAGUCGGGAUUUUACAAUCCGGCAACGCCGCAAUCGGCCAUCUUUGUUCUAAUUAAUUUUUCCCCGUGUAAAUUCCCAUAAGGAAUCGGGGUCCCUUUACUUUUAAUUCAUUUUCUACUUAUUGGUGUCUUAAAUCCAAUAUAUUUCUCGUGGAUCUUGUUCCCCGAAUAACUGGUUGUUUUGAUUCUGGAAUGUCAAAACAGACAUGUUGUGUGUUUGGUGUGUCUGAAUAGGUCAGCCAAGUUAUGUAUUUAACUAAAGAUGUUGACUGGGCUUCUGGCACCAACACGUAAUCAUGAGAAUAAUUCCAUUGGGAUGGCUACUGUUUAAAGAAUUAGUCGCUCUGUAAGAAGGCAGAUUGCUAGUAUAUGUUGAAAGAUACACCCACACGUUCCAAAAGAUGCAGUAACUGAUGUCAUGAAAGAUAACGCUGGAGAUACCCAAUGCAGAACACCUUUGAUUAACA